rnacentral:rRNA from 1 species
UUAAGCGACUAAGCGUACACGGUGGAUGCCCUGGCAGUCAGAGGCGAUGAAGGACGUGCUAAUCUGCGAAAAGCGUCGGUAAGGUGAUAUGAACCGUUACAGCCGGCGAUGUCCGAAUGGGGAAACCCAGUGCAAUUCGUUGCACUAUCGUUUGAUGAAUACAUAGUCAAACGAGGCGAACCGGGGGAACUGAAACAUCUAAGUACCCCGAGGAAAAGAAAUCAACCGAGAUUCCCCCAGUAGCGGCGAGCGAACGGGGAGCAGCCCGGAGUCUGAAUCAGCUUGUGUGUUAGUGGAAGCGUCUGGAAAGUCGCAGGGUACAGGGUGAUACUCCCGUACACUAAAACACACAGGUUGUGAACUCGAAGAGUAGGGCGGGACACGUGGUAUCCUGUCUGAAUAUGGGGGGACCAUCCUCCAAGGCUAAAUACUCCUGACUGACCGAUAGUGAACCAGUACCGUGAGGGAAAGGCGAAAAGAACCCCGGCGAGGGGAGUGAAAAAGAACCUGAAACCGUGUACGUACAAGCAGUAGGAGCCCACUUGUUGGGUGACUGCGUACCUUUUGUAUAAUGGGUCAGCGACUUAUAUUCUGUAGCAAGGUUAACCGUAUAGGGGAGCCGCAGGGAAACCGAGUCUUAACUGGGCGUUAAGUUGCAGGGUAUAGACCCGAAACCCGGUGAUCUAGCCAUGGGCAGGUUGAAGGUUGGGUAACACUAACUGGAGGACCGAACCGACUAAUGUUGAAAAAUUAGCGGAUGACUUGUGGCUGGGGGUGAAAGGCCAAUCAAACCGGGAGAUAGCUGGUUCUCCCCGAAAGCUAUUUAGGUAGCGCCUCGUGAAUUCAUCUUCGGGGGUAGAGCACUGUUUCGGCUAGGGGGUCAUCCCGACUUACCAACCCGAUGCAAACUACGAAUACCGAAGAAUGUUAUCACGGGAGACACACGGCGGGUGCUAACGUCCGUCGUGAAGAGGGAAACAACCCAGACCGCCAGCUAAGGUCCCAAAGUCAUGGUUAAGUGGGAAACGAUGUGGGAAGGCCCAGACAGCCAGGAUGUUGGCUUAGAAGCAGCCAUCAUUUAAAGAAAGCGUAAUAGCUCACUGGUCGAGUCGGCCUGCGCGGAAGAUGUAACGGGGCUAAACCAUGCACCGAAGCUGCGGCAGCGACACUAUGUGUUGUUGGGUAGGGGAGCGUUCUGUAAGCCGUUGAAGGUGGCCUGUGAGGGUUGCUGGAGGUAUCAGAAGUGCGAAUGCUGACAUAAGUAACGAUAAUGCGGGUGAAAAACCCGCACGCCGGAAGACCAAGGGUUCCUGUCCAACGUUAAUCGGGGCAGGGUGAGUCGACCCCUAAGGCGAGGCCGAAAGGCGUAGUCGAUGGGAAACAGGUUAAUAUUCCUGUACUUGGUGUUACUGCGAAGGGGGGACGGAGAAGGCUAUGUUGGCCGGGCGACGGUUGUCCCGGUUUAAGCGUGUAGGUGUGUGUUCCAGGUAAAUCCGGUUCACUUUAACACUGAGGCGUGAUGACGAGGCACUACGGUGCUGAAGUGACAAAUGCCCUGCUUCCAGGAAAAGCCUCUAAGCAUCAGGUAACAUCAAAUCGUACCCCAAACCGACACAGGUGGUCAGGUAGAGAAUACCAAGGCGCUUGAGAGAACUCGGGUGAAGGAACUAGGCAAAAUGGUGCCGUAACUUCGGGAGAAGGCACGCUGAUAUGUAGGUGAAGUGGUUUACCCAUGGAGCUGAAAUCAGUCGAAGAUACCAGCUGGCUGCAACUGUUUAUUAAAAACACAGCACUGUGCAAACACGAAAGUGGACGUAUACGGUGUGACGCCUGCCCGGUGCCGGAAGGUUAAUUGAUGGGGUUAUCCGUAAGGAGAAGCUCUUGAUCGAAGCCCCGGUAAACGGCGGCCGUAACUAUAACGGUCCUAAGGUAGCGAAAUUCCUUGUCGGGUAAGUUCCGACCUGCACGAAUGGCGUAAUGAUGGCCAGGCUGUCUCCACCCGAGACUCAGUGAAAUUGAACUCGCUGUGAAGAUGCAGUGUACCCGCGGCAAGACGGAAAGACCCCGUGAACCUUUACUAUAGCUUGACACUGAACACUGGUCCUUGAUGUGUAGGAUAGGUGGGAGGCUUUGAAGNG